GAUAAACGCUGGCGGCGUGCCUUAACACAUGCAAGUCGAGCGGGGGAAGUUGCUUCGGUAAUUGACCUAGCGGCGGACGGGUGAGUAAUACUUAGGAAUCUGCCUAUUAAUGGGGGACAACAUCUCGAAAGGGAUGCUAAUACCGCAUACGCCCUCCGGGGGAAAGCAGGGGAUCACUUGUGACCUUGCGUUAAUAGAUGAGCCUAAGUCGGAUUAGCUAGUUGGUGGGGUAAAGGCCUACCAAGGCGACGAUCUGUAGCGGGUCUGAGAGGAUGAUCCGCCACACUGGGACUGAGACACGGCCCAGACUCCUACGGGAGGCAGCAGUGGGGAAUAUUGGACAAUGGGGGGAACCCAGAUCCAGCCAUGCCGCGUGUGUGAAGAAGGCCUUAUGGUUGUAAAGCACUUUAAGCGAGGAGGAGGCUCUUUUGGUUAAUACCCAAGAUGAGUGGACGUUACUCGCAGAAUAAGCACCGGCUAACUCUGUGCCAGCAGCCGCAGUAAUAC
rnacentral:rRNA from 1 species